rnacentral:lncRNA from 1 species
GGAACCUGGAAGCCUAGGCAGGCAGUGGGGAACUCUGACUCGCCUGUGCUCUGGAGCUUGAUCCGAAAGCUUCCACAGUGAGGACUGCUCCGUGGGGGUAAGAGAGCACCAGGCACUGAGGCCUGGGAGUUCCACAGACCAACACCCCUGCUCCUGGCGGCUCCCACCCGGGACUUAGACCCUCAGGUCCCUAAUAUCCCGGAGGUGCUCUCAAUCAGAAAGGUCCUGCUCCGCUUCGCAGUGGAAUGGAACGGAUUUAGAAGCCUGCAGUAGGGGAGUGGGGAGUGGAGAGAGGGAGCCCAGAGUUACAGACGGCGGCGAGAGGAAGGAGGGGCGUCUUUAUUUUUUUAAGGCCCCAAAGAGUCUGAUGUUUACAAGACCAGAAAUGCCACGGCCGCGUCCUGGCAGAGAAAAGGCUGAAAUGGAGGACCGGCGCCUUCCUUAUAAGUAUGCACAUUGGCGAGAGAAGUGCUGCAACCUAAACCAGCAAUUACACCCAAGCUCGUUGGGGCCUAAGCCAGUACCGACCUGGUAGAAAAAGCAACCACGAAGCUAGAGAGAGAGCCAGAGGAGGGAAGAGAGCGCCAGACGAAGGUGAAAGCGAACCACGCAGAGAAAUGCAGGCAAGGGAGCAAGGCGGCAGUUCCCGGAACAAACGUGGCAGAGGGCAAGACGGGCACUCACAGACAGAGGAGUGAUUAUGCAGUGGGACCCUGCUGCAAACGGGACUUUGCACUCUAAAUAUAGACCCCAGCUUGGGACAAAAGUUGCAGUAGAAAAAUAGACAUAGGAGAACACUUAAAUAAGUGAUGCAUGUAGACACAGAAGGGGUAUUUAAAAGACAGAAAUAAUAGAAGUACAGAAGAACAGAAAAAAAAUCAGCAGAUGGAGAUUACCAUUCCCAAUGCCUGAACUUCCUCCUGCUAUUAAGAUUGCUAGAGAAUUGUGUCUUAAACAGUUCAUGAACCCAGAAGAAUGCAAUUUCAAUGUAUUUAGUACACACACAGUAUGUAUAUAAACACAACUCACAGAAUAUAUUUUCCAUACAUUGGGUAGGUAUGCACUUUGUGUAUAUAUAAUAAUGUAUUUUCCAUGCAGUUUUAAAAUGUAGAUAUAUUAAUAUCUGGAUGCAUUUUCUGUGCACUGGUUUUAUAUGCCUUAUGGAGUAUAUACUCACAUGUAGCUAAAUAGACUCAGGACUGCACAUUCCUUGUGUAGGUUGUGUGUGUGUGGUGGUUUUAUGCAUAAAUAAAGUUUUACAUGUGGU